rnacentral:lncRNA from 1 species
AAUGAAGCUGAAAAAACAUUGGCCAUAGAAGGAAAAGAUGGGACAUGGACAAGGCAACAACUUUUACUGGGGCACUUUGGACUGCAGAAGAUGCCUCCAAGAACUGUCUGGAGCAUAACAUCUCCAUCUUCAACAGCAUAAGAUGCCCACCAGAGAGGCCAAUGUGUCUGAUGUGAUUGGAUGUGAUUCAGAGGGCAAGUAUCUUGGCCAUGACGUAUUUGGACACUCUCAUGCACCCCUAAUGGAGAUAUGGAAGCACCUGGCAGCACCACCAUGGAGCCACCUUCCCUCAGAUGCAUGUGACUUGGCAUGGUUAGAAAUCUUGGCACCUACCACAUGGCUCCAAUUCACUUCAGGAGUGAC